UCCAUUCACUUUUUCUCUUCUCCCCUCCCUGCUGCCAGGUCCUGCGCAGGACUCAAGUUGCAGCCAGCAACAACUUUGGAGCAACCAAGCCGCCAGCAGCUUUCUGCAGGCUGGCAGCAUUGAGUUAAGAGUUUUGGGAGCUAUUUGGAUAUGAUUUAAUGCUCCAUUUUCGAAAUUGACUGCUUGCACUUGUGUCGGGAGAAGUUGGAAGUCAGCCCAUAUCUUCCUUGAGCUAAAAUUGAAGAAUUCAUUAAUGUUCAUAUAAAUUUUCUAUGGAGACUAAGCUUUAAAAAGGUUGGGAGUGAUCUUGACUUCGUCCUCUACUGCAUAGAAUCUUGUUUCAAUCAAUUCGGAGGUUUUUCUUGUAGUGGAAUGGCCUAAGAUCACUUGUGGACAAGUACCAAUUCCCAAUUUCGCUGUUGGUGGGUUGGUGGAGCAAGAAUGAAGUGCGAUUCACUACUGGCAGCUUAGAAGCAAGCAGCAAUAGCGGCAGCAUUAAGGCAGCAGCAGUAGUAGAAAUGGUAGCUGAAUUUUGGGGGAGAAUUGAUGGAAAUUGAUUAUUCCAAUUAAACAAUUGGAGCAUCCUCAUGAAUCAAGUGUUGUAUGGAGCUGGGAGAGAAAGUUAUUGAGCUACAUUGUCAAUGAAGAGGGCUUCAAUUGAGGAGUUUCUUGCCGAUCCACACCUUUAUGUUAGCCAAAUUGAUGUUGACCCCAGCUGAACUUUAAGCAGGGAGUUUUGGAAUCUGCCCUCACCUUCCUUUUAUUUGGAGCUGGAAGAAAGUGCUUGUGAAGUUUUAGUUUGGUCCGUAGUCGGAUUAGCGCUCCAGGUGGGUUAAUGUUUAUCGAAAUCGUCGGAUUUCCUUCUAAGUCAUAGAAUUGUCAGCAUGUAUUCUUGGCUUUGUUCAUCAUGUUUAGUAGUUCGAAUUCGUAGAUUUGCAUGCUUUAUAUGGAAUCCGAAUUUGGAACAUUAUUUAAUAAUUUUAGAUGAAGUUAUAUAUAUAUAUGCUGAACUAGGAUUUGACUUAGGAGAAAACUCGUAAACCUACACUGCCAUUUUUUGGAAAAGUAACCGAAUUAGCUUCAGGAGCUGUUGUUCUCUUAUAUCACCAUUGUUAGUGCGAGGUGGAUACCCAGAUUAAUGUAGAUUCAGAUUACGCUCGUGCUGAGGAGCCGAAUGUGUUGUUAUAGUAUAGUUAGACUAUUUUGAACUGUCGGGUGUCGUCGGGACGGACGGUGGACCUGGAUUUCUGUAUUUUGUAUCAGAUUGUGCCGAGGGUACGUGAGCCUUAGUUGGUAGACCAGUUUGACCCAUUUGUAUUGAUAAUAGCUUGUGUGAGCCUGAUUGAGCUCGGCAGAAAUAUGCUUGCAUACUCGGUUGGGUCGCACCCACGAGUGCCGCUCCGAAGUGAGGCGUUUCUUGUGUUGAUGUUACAGCAUUCCUGUUCGGACAGUUCUUGGACCGGCCACCCUCGUGGGUGGUGUGCGGUAUAGUUUAGAUACAGGCUGGACGAGCCAGUUGACAGUCCCUUGAGAUUGGGUCAGUGUUGUUGAGUUGUAGAUAGCGAUGCAUUUCUUUAUCUACAGUGAGCCUGGUUUGGGAUAGCAGUACUAUAGUAGCAUAUAGCUAUAGAGUUUCUUCCAGCUUUACUAUUCUGUGCACACCAUACUGUAGACUUAGUGGGUGCGCCGUUGAGGUCCGUGGCCGUAUUCAUUGAGGACUACUCUGUUUUGUAGUAGUUCUCACACCGAGUUGUUGACACCUUUUUGCAAAGUCUUCGUUUGCGAUUGCUGCUGUUGUGGAUUCUCACCGUGGCAAGGGAGUCGCGAGCUAGAUCCCUACUAGCCCUGGUCUUUUGCUAGAGGAGCACCCAUCAGAGGUAGUUUUGGGGCUUAUUUACAUACUGUUAUGCUAGUGGUACUCGCUAGAGCGAGGUGGUUUUAUAACUUUUGUAUGUACAGAGGAUCCUUUCUGUUUUUAUAUAUAUAUUUAAGUUUUAGCAGCUCUAUACUUCUGGUUGUAGCUAGAUUUGGUUACAGGUACAGUUACCGUUUUAUAUACACGAAAAAUUUUCUAUGUAUACGGCGGGUCUGUUGGCGUGCCCGGAAAAAAUAUGGUAAUUCGGGGCGUGACAAUUUAAUUCUAAAAAUAUGUGUUUUUAUCUUUCUUAUAGUCUAAUAAUUUUCUUAGUUUUGAGUUUAAUUGUAUAGAUUGUUGAAUAAAUAAAGAUAAAAAAUCAACUUAAUAGAUUUUUUAUCAAUUCUUGCAAACUAUUUAAACUAAUAUUCUUCACUUCAUAUUUAGAAUAUUAUUUUCAAUGUAUUUGAUGAACUACAUAUUUCAGACUUAUUUCUCCAAAUUAUUAUCGAUGAUCAACGAUGACUAAAAAAUAUUAUUGCUCCUAUAAUAUGUAUCUGCCGCAUCGCACGGGUGAUUUACGGGUGCAAAGCAUGUAUUAUGAUUUAGGGGGAGAAUCGUGUAACCAUUGACAUGGGAUUUGAAAGUUAAAAAACAAAAACAAAACAUGGCUGAAAUUAAGUUCAGGCACUAACUAGUAGCAGGCCAAUUCAUAACUCCCUGAGAGGACAAUUUUACGCAGAGAGGGAGAGAGAGGGAGAGAGAGAGAGAUCUCGCUCGGCAUUACUAAAAAAAGGUAAUCGAUUCAU